rnacentral:lncRNA from 1 species
GAGAUAUUCCCGGUAUUCCCGGGAUCCCCGGGAUAUUCCCGGUAUCCCCGUUAUUCCCGGGAUAUUCCCGGUAUCCCCGGGAUAUUCCCGGUAUCCCCGUUAUUCCCGGGAUAUUCCCGGUAUCCCCGUUAUUCCCGGGAUAUUCCCGGUAUCCCCGGGAUAUUCCCGGUAUCCCCGUUAUCACCGAGAUAUUCCCGGUAUUCCCGUUAUCCCCGGGAUAUUCCCGUUAUUCCCGGGAUAUUCCCGGUAUCCCCGUUAUCCCUGGGAUAUUCCCGUUAUCCCCGUUAUCCCCGGGAUAUUCCCGGUAUCCCCGUUAUCCCCGGGAUAUUCCCGGUAUCCCCGUUAUUCCCGGGAUCCCCCUCUCCCGGUGCAGAUGUUCCCGGUUCGGGUCCCGGCAGCCGCAGCGGGAGCCGCGAGCGGGGCGGGGAUGGCGGCACCGGGGACACCCCCACGGAACCGGCCCGGAGACGGCACGACCCCGGCAGGGAAAUCCCGGCCUGGAUCUCACGGGGAAUGCGGGCUGCAGGGAAAUCCCGGCCUGGAUCUCACGGGGAAUGCGGGCUGCAGGGAAAUCCCGGCCUGGAUCUCACGGGGAAUGCGGGCUGCAGGGAAAUCCCGGCCUGGAUCCGGGGGGCUCCAGG